UUGCCUGUAAUGAGACCAAAUUGGCCUGGUCGAAUUCGAAUGUGUCUGGGCCCAGUUAAAAGGCAAAUUACGCUAAUGAAAUGUUUUAACCCUGAUGUG
ensembl:snoRNA snoRNA:Me18S-A627